UCUAUGGCCAUACCCCCCUGAAUGUGCCCAAUCUUGUCUGAUCCCGGAAGCUAAGCAGGGUCGGGCCUGGUUAGUACUUGGAUGGGAGAAUGGUGUUCAAAGAA
rnacentral:rRNA from 1 species